UACAGAGGUCUCAAGCGUUGUUCGGAUUCAUUGGGCGUAAAGGGUGCGUAGGCGGUGAGGUAAGUUGGAUGUGAAAUCCCGGGGCUCAACCCCGGAACUGCAUUCAAUACUGCCUUGCUAGAGUACUGGAGAGGAGAUUGGAAUUCACGGUGUAGCAGUGAAAUGCGUAGAUAUCGUGAGGAAGACCAGUGGCGAAGGCGAAUCUCUGGACAGUGACUGACGCUGAGGCACGAAGGCUAGGGGAGCAAACGGG
rnacentral:rRNA from 1 species